UACAGAGGGUGCAAGCGUUGUUCGGAAGUAUUGGGCGUAAAGCGCGUGUAGGCGGCUUUGCAAGUCGGGUGUGAAAGCCCUCAGCUCAACUGAGGAAGUGCGCCCGAAACUGCAGAGCUUGAGUACCGGAGAGGAUGGCGGAAUUCCCCAAGUAGAGGUGAAAUUCGUAGAUAUGGGGAGGAACACCGGUGGCGAAGGCGGCCAUCUGGACGGAUACUGACGCUGAGACGCGAAAGCGUGGGGAGCAAACAGG
rnacentral:rRNA from 1 species